CACAUGGUCGAUGAUCACUACGGGAGAGAGAGCUUAUUGUCUCCUUCCCAUUUCUAUAUUACUGUUUCCUCUUUAACCACUCUUAUCCUAUCACCAGUUCACCACUAUUCCUCGGACUAGGUCCGCUCUCCUUUCUCCCACACCCUCUCUCCUAGCUUUCAGAUCUGUCUUGAUUCAGAUUUGAUACCAAAGUUUCGAUAUUUACGAGGAGGAGGGUCUGGAGUUGCAUUGGCUGAGAGAUAGACCAGAUGGAGGGAAAGAAGAGAAAAAGAGUGUGAAUUGGAGUCUUUCGCGCAGAACAGUCGACCGGAGCAGCCUGAGUGCAUGCUCCAGCGGCAGAGAUAAAAAAAGAAGUUUCCAAAUAUUUCGGGAUUUGCCUUAGAUUUCCUGUUUUUCCAUAUAGCCGCAUGUGGCUCCUAUAUAUAUAGUCUUUUAUUUAUUACUUUAGACCUACCUUAGUUUUUACGCAAGAAAGACCUAAGAGAGCUUGUGUUUUCGGCGA